GAUGAACGCUGGCGGCGUGCCUAAUACAUGCAAGUCGAGCGAACGGACCAGGAUCUUGCUUCUUUGACGUUAGCGGCGGACGUGUGAGUAACACGUGGAUAACCUACCUAUAAUUCUGGUAUAAUUUCGGGAAACCGGCGCUAAUCCCGUAUAAUAUCUUGAACCGCAUUGUUCAAUAGUGAAAGUCGGUCUUUCUGUCACUUAUAGAUGCAUCCGCGCUGCAUGAGAUGGUUGGUAAGGUAACGGCUUACCAAGGCAACGAUGCGUAGGCGACCUGUGAGGGUGAUAGGCGACAUGGGAACGGAGACAGGGUCAAGAGUACUAAGGGAGGCAGCAGUAGGGAAUCGGACGCAAUGGGCGAAAGCAUGACGGAGCGACGGCGCGUGAGUGAUGAAGGCCUUGGGAGCGGAAAAAUCGGUUAUGAGGGAAGAACAGAUGUGGAAGUAAAUGUGCAGAGAGUGACGGUAAUGGAUCAGAAAGCAACGGCUAACUACGUG
rnacentral:rRNA from 1 species